rnacentral:tRNA from 1 species
AAGGUGUUAGCUCAAUUGGAAGAGCGCUUGCCAAACAAGCAAGAGGUUGCAAGUUCGAGUCUUGCACACCUUC